rnacentral:lncRNA from 1 species
CAGGUGCCUCAACCUGGCAGCGCCUCGUAACCCCUGGGGCAGGCGCCUCUAGACCCUGGGGCAGGCUCCUCUAGACCCUGGGGCAGGCUCUCUAGACCCUGGGGCAGGCUCUCUAGACCCUGGGGCAGGCUCUCUAGACCCUGGGGCAG